GACGAACCGUGCAAACGUUGUUCGGAAUCACUGGGCUUAAAGGGCGCGUAGGCGGCAGACCAAGUCCGGGGUGAAAUCUUUCGGCUCAACCGAGGAAGUGCACCCGAAACUGCCUGGCUCGAGUCUCGGAGAGGAUCGUGGAAUUCUCGGUGUAGAGGUGAAAUUCGUAGAUAUCGAGAGGAACACCGGUGGCGAAGGCGGCGAUCUGGACGAUGACUGACGCUGAGACGCGAAGCGUGGGGAGCAAACAGG
rnacentral:rRNA from 1 species